rnacentral:rRNA from 1 species
GACGAACGCUGGCGGCGCGCUUCAUACAUGCAAGUCGAACGAGAAGCCCGGGCUUGCCCGGGUGGAAAGUGGCGAACGGGUGAGGAACACGUGAGGAACCUGCCCCAGAGACCGGGAUAACACCGGGAAACCGGUGCUAAUACCGGAUGCCCUCAUCGGAUCGCAUGGUCCGAUGAGGAAAUGGAUUCCGCUCUGGGAUGGCCUCGCGGCCUAUCAGCUUGUUGGUGGGGUAACGGCCCACCAAGGCUUCGACGGGUAGCUGGUCUGAGAGGAUGUCCAGCCACACUGGGACUGAGACACGGCCCAGACUCCUACGGGAGGCAGCAGUAGGGAAUCUUGCGCAAUGAGCGAAAGCUUGACGCAGCGACGCCGCGUGCGGGAUGACGGCCCUCGGGUUGUAAACCGCUUUCAGCAGGGACGAAAUUGACGGUACCUGCAGAAGAAGCCCCGGCCAACUACGUGCCAGCAGCCGCCGUAAUAC